UUAAAUUACGAAUAAUCGAAUUUCGUUAUUUUAAUCGUUUUUACGAAUUAUUUUAAACGAUAAAUUUAUAAACCGAAUUAUUUAUUUUCGUUAACGAUAAAUUAUUUAUUUUUAAGGAAUUAUUUUAAUUAAACAUUUUAUUACAAAUUCUGAAUUUUUUUCCAAAUAUUGUGAAUUUAUUAUUAAAAAAAAAAAAAAAAAAGAUGUCAGCUUUAUUUUCUUGCUCCCCACGCUCAAACCAGGAAGUUUUGACUUCCUCUCCUUCCCUCAAAUCAGUCCAUGUUCAAUUCCUUGAGCCCCAAGGUCUUCCCCUUCUAGAAUCCUUUCAAAAAAAUUACAAAAAUUCCUUCAAUUUCUGAUAAAUUUCAAUACCAAAAUCAAUCCACAAAAUUGAAAACAAUCCUUCCUUAUUCUCCCUAAAAUCGAACCACCACCGCCUCCGGCAGCCACCACCACCACCGUCUACCGUCACCCACCUUCACCACCUAUCAGUCGCAAACGCCCCCAGCCACCGAACACCACCACUCCACCACAACUCCCUCAUCUGCUCUCUUCGCACUCCCCUGUUCCCCUCCCCUGUUUUCUUCUUUCUUCGCCGCCCCACACCACCUCUAUCACACCCCACCAACGACCAACAUCACCAUCCCACACACCAACCUCCGCCGCCCUAUUUCACCAACGAGCCACCCCCCAACUCCUCCCAGAACCGCCGCAAACCACCACACAAAAUCUCCCCUGCCUUUCCCUCCUUCGCGCAACCCACCACCCAUUCCCUCGCUGCUCCGCCGCCGAGAACCACCCACCAUCGCCGUCGCAUCAAUCGGCGUCACCCACCUCAGCCAGCCGCCCUUCCUCCCUCCUCUUUCUCCUCCUCCUCGUUCGCCCCUUUACCUUCCCCUACUCGUGCCCUUUUUCAGAAACCAAAGAACCAGAAACUUUGGUUUCUAAUUUUUGGUCUUAAUUCUCCUUAAAAUCCCACAUUAAAAAUUUGGGCCAUAAUCCCUUUGGGCUUUUGGAAAUUGGACUCGGAGCUCAGGACGAACGAACCAACGAAAAUCCCUUAGCAAAGUCGCAGAAUUAAGGUACCGCUGGGAACGAUGGGAACGAGUAGUGGCGAGGAUUUCACUUUAAUAAUUCCCACCUAGUUUAUGCCUUAAGUUUUAAUAGUUUAAUUACAGACUUUUAGUAAUUUAUGCACCUUUAUUUUGGUAAUAUUAAAGAUUAUUAUAUUAAUUUUUGGGAUUUAAUAUCUUAUGAUUGAUGGUUGCCUUGUAAUUCCCAAGAGGGAGUUACGACAGGUAAUGCCCCGACCAAUUAGGUUAAUUCCGCUGCUAAUUAUGCUUUAAUAAUGUAAUUAGAGGUCGGGGUGUUACAUGUAAAAUUAAGGAUUUAAGUAAAAAUCCACGCCACUUAUAGCGCUAAAGAUAUUGCAGUGCUAAUUAUUAUUUAUUGCACAUUUUUAUUAUAUAAUCUAAAUUUAA